rfam:Tick-borne encephalitis virus strain Salem, complete genome
AGAGUGCAUUACGGCAGCACGCCAGUGAGAGUGGCGACGGGAAAAAUGGUCGAUCCCGACGUAGGGCACUCUGGAAAAUUUUGUGAGACCCC